rnacentral:rRNA from 1 species
UACGUAGGGGGCAAGCGUUGUCCGGAUUUAUUGGGCGUAAAGAGCGUGUAGGCGGCUUUACAGGUCCGUUGUGAAAACUCGAGGCUCAACCUCGAGACGCCGGUGGAAACCGUAAAGCUAGAGUCCGGAAGAGGAGAGUGGAAUUCCUGGUGUAGCGGUGAAAUGCGCAGAUAUCAGGAGGAACACCGGUGGCGAAGGCGGGUCUCUGGGCCGUAACUGACGCUGAGGCGCGAAAGCUAGGGGAGCAAACAGG